ACCAAGUGAAUGCACUCUCCCUUCUGCUGAAUGCCUUUCCCCUACUUCUUCCUAAAGACUUCCUGGCUGGCCUGGGAUUAGAGCUCUAACCUUGGCCUGGGUGGCCUGGCAUCAUAUAGAGUUACAUAUUGCAGAUGGAUUUGCUCCUGGCCAGGGGAGAAUGUGCCAAGGAAUCCCCAGGUUCUUGUGUUGGCUGUAACAGAACAAAGGACCUAUGAAAGUGCUGCUGACUUGGGGUGCAAAACUGAGAGUUGGUCAUGUCUCCCAAGAGGAAAAAGAACGCACGAA
rnacentral:lncRNA from 1 species